AGUUUACAACAACAACUCCAUAUGAAAAAAAACUUUAUGUUGCACUUUAAAACUAAAAUAUUCUGAAGGAAUUCGUUUGUCGCAAUGGUUCAUAUAUACUAUAAAAUAUAUACUAACAUUGCCAUAUGCAUAAAGAAGUAAUAUCAGCAAAUAAGGUCACCAAAUCGGAAUCGACAAAAUAUCUACGAAAGCAUUCACACCACUUGAAAAAAAACCUCAUUUGUCUGUGUAUAUAUGUGAACUUAUUCAGCGGUUGACGUACGCAAUAUGAUGCUGUGCGCAUCAAACAGUCAGCGAACAACCUACCGGCUGCAUACACAGCGUUUAGAUUCGUAUUAUAUAUACAUCUGGAAAUAUCUUGGUCGUUCAAUUCGGAAUUCCGAGUGUCUACAUUUUAAUCGGUGACAUUCUUUGGACAGAAUUCAACGCAAAUCAAUUGGUGUUAAAAAUACAAAAUGGAUUCGAAACCCGUGGAUAAGCUUCAAUUACAGGAUUUUUCCGAUGAGGUCCUACUAAAAGUGUUCAUGAAAAAAAAUUGUUCAUGAAAAUCUAUUUCACCAAACAUUUUCCCAGCAGUGAAGGAUUGAAGUCAAAUGGUGCUGAGGUUGCAAAAUUUAGCAAGAAGAAUUGAAUGUGUUUAUAGAUCUCAUCAGAA